UAUCACUGCUAGGGGUGCUGUAAAGCUGAGAGAGAUGAUCCGUCUCAACCCUUAACACCUGAUCUAGUUCGUACUAGCGUAGGGAAGAAGUGUUAGUUAAAU
rnacentral:ncRNA from 2 species